GUUGGUGUGGCAGACCCCGGCAAAUGCAAAAGACCUAAGCCCUUUUAACAGAGGUUCAAGUCCUCUCGCCAACU
rnacentral:tRNA from 1 species